CUUUAUUGGAGAGUUUGAUCCUGGCUCAGGAUGAACGCUGGUGGCGUGCCUAAUACAUGCAAGUUGAGCGAAUGGAUUAAGAGCUUGCUCUUAUGAAGUUAGCGGCGGACGGGUGAGUAACACGUGGGUAACCUGCCCAUAAGACUGGGAUAACUCCGGGAAACCGGGGCUAAUACCGGAUAACAUUUUGAA
rnacentral:rRNA from 1 species